AGCCCCGUAGUGUAGUGGUCAAUCAUGUGGGACUCUGGAUCCUGCGACGCAGUUCGAAUCUGCCCGGGGCUA
rnacentral:tRNA from 1 species